CAAUCCACGGAUUGGUCACAUGCAAGCUUGCAGAACUUGAGAAAACAAUAAUCGCUUCAAGAUAUAAAAUAAAAAAAUGUCGAAAAUAAUUUUAUUAUUGUCAAUUUUCGUAUUGAUUAGUCUCUAUGUUGGUGCAGAUGCAGCGUGUCCAGGCGGUUGGUGCCAUCCACAACAAGGAUACGGCUGUUGUGAAGGACAUAAAUGCAGUGACUGGUUGUUUCAAGGUACAUGCAUAACUGAUGGUAUGGCGGCAGCAAUGGCACUCGGAGGAUAAUUAUAACAAUACAAUGAAGAUUUAAAUGUAUUUUAUCAAUUAAUAAAAAUUUUUUAUAACAAAGAAAA